rnacentral:lncRNA from 10 species
AACACAAUGUAAGCUUGGGGUUUCCCUGACUAAAUAAUUAGCGAAUAUUUGAACACCAGACCUGUAUGAGAGCAGGCUACUAGCUAUAAAUUUUCUGUAAAGAGAAUUAUUAAUAUUUUCCCCUGUAGUCACCUUGAAAAUUACCAAUUUCUUGGUAAGAUCUAUUUUUUAGUGGAUUUUUUUUCUACCCCAUAUCAUCACUAUCGGGGUACUCUCUUCAAGGGUCUAGGCCUGUUGGAAGAGUCUUAAGUUCACAACUUAAACUGAAGAUUCUCAGGUGUCUUUCUGCAUUUCUGAAGCGGUCCCUGUAAGACUAAAAUUUGUAUUCCUCAAUAAUUGAAUUGAACUUGGUUUUAGCUAUUUUAUGAUUUAGAUCUGGCCAGAGGAAUGACAGGAAAAUGCUCAACAUCUAUUUACUGAAUAGGAAUACAACUGUAAUCAGCUGUUGGUCCCUGCUAUCAUUUACUUGCUGAUGAUACUCUUCUCUAGGCAUGACCUGUGGGGUCUUCCCCAUAGCACAUCUCCCUGGCAGGAAGAAUACCAACAUUUGUGCAUACUCAAGUCCUGCAAGUCCUGCGGUGUGCCCUGUGGAACUCAAGGACACGAAAAGUCAGCACUCCAUGUAUGGAGGUUUUGUAUCCCACUAAUCCUGUAUUUUCCAUUUGCUUUGAGUUGUGGAUGUGGAACCUGCUGAUAAAGACGGCUGACUGCAUUUAUUGAAAAAAACUCCACAUAUAAGCAGACGUGUGAGUUUCAAACCCAUGUUGUCAAGGGUCAGUCAACUGUACAUAUAUACAACACCAUAUUGUUUUGUUUCUCUGGAAAACUAGCACUCUAGGUGUAGCUGCCAUCUCACAUUGUUUAUCUUUGGCUUCCAAGUCUUAUGUGGGUUUGUCUGCUGAAAAUAUCCUGGAGUACGUGCAUAAAUCUAGCUGCAAAGGAAUCCAGAAAACAUGCUCAUUAGUUGUCUAGCCCCUGUGGAAGAGAAAAGCAUGUAGAAGGGGACUGGAAAUAGUACUUAGUGAGUCAAUCUGAAGAAUCUGCCACAAAGAUUUGCUUAUUAGCUUUCCCAAGUCAUCAGCCCUGAAUCAAUAGUUGUAACCUCAUACCAGCCAUCAAAUCUGGCCAUAUGUUUUUUUAACAAAUAAAUAAAUGAUAAGAUAUAUUUGCCCCUGAUUUACCAGCUACAAAGGACUUAAACUAUAUACUUAGUUUUUGUUUCCUUGGUGUUAUUAAAUAUAUCUGCAAGCAAAAGAAAAUUAGUAUAAAAAUUAGAACUCCAUUUCGAGGACACAGACGCCAUGUGGCUGAACAAUUUAACAAAAGUAAUUUAGCAAUUUAACUCGAGAAAGUAACAGAGUCUGGUCUAGAAUGCAGGCUUUGCAAGUUCUAGAUUAGUGCCCUUUGCAUGCUACCAUGCACAAGUAAACAUUAUAAUCUACAAGGAGAUAUUUACCUAACUAAAGUUGGACGUGUCCAGGUGUAAAUAAACCAAGGCGAUAGGAAGAAAUGUGGAUUUGAAACAGAGGAAAUUGCAAAUAGACAAAAGCUCUGGGGCCAAAUCUCAAACUUCAUUGUUUUACAGAGGGAUGAAAUCCAUGGAGCAUAUUAUUUUCCUUGAAUGUUUGUCAUCCUUUUAUAUGUAGAAAUUAGAAAACAGUCCAAAAUUCUAACAGCAGUCUGUGCUCUUUCACUGAAUUCAAAUAGUCCACUUUUAUUGAACAUUUUACUAAGCUCAGAUAAAUCAGAGAGAUUAUCCCAAAGCAUUCGGCUCAUUGUAAAAAACACCAGAGAGACCUUUAAAAGGAUUGUAAAGACUCUCAAUCAAACUAGUUCUCACAGAAAAUGUGUAAAAGGACAUGGGACACAGUUAAAAAGCUGAAAGCAGGAUCCAUUUUCACAGCUACCAUUUAAAUCCAGGCCUUUGUUACCUCCAUCCAGAAUUCGUUAACAGCCCUCUAAAUUGUCUCUCUUUUCUAGUCGUUCCUCUUCAAUUCUACCUGAAGACACUGUUUCCAGAUUAGUCUUGAAUAAAUCAUCAUGCCAUCCUACUCCUUAGGCAAAGUGAUGAAGAACUAAAAGCCAAGAAAUUUUGGCUUGAGUUCAGGUCCUGUCGCCUAAAAUCUGAUCUUGGACAAAAUAUAUCUUUUCUGAGUAUGUUUUUCUGAGUUUCUCAUAUUAUCUCUCUCUCUCUCUCUCUCUCUCUCUCUCUCUCUCUCCCUCCCCACCCCCCAAUCCCAAACACCCAGCCCCUGCCAAUAACAAUCACUUCCAUAAUACAUGGUUCUUAUGACAAUCACAUGUAGUGAAUAACUUGAGAAAACAUUAAACACUUGGAAUUACAAAAUAGAAAAUAGUAAAAUACUUGGGGCUAUCAACUCAACAGUCUAAACUUAAAACCAGUAGUCAGCCUGUCUAAUUUUAAUUGUGACCAUAUAUAGAUUCUGAUAUAUAGUUUUCUUUCUUUAAUAUACAACCCAUGAAAAUAAAAUUAAUUUUGUGAACUUUUACAUAAAAUGAUAUUUGUUAGUUCAAGGUCGCAUUCCUUAGACUGUUUAUCCAUGACACUCACCAUGCUUUAACAGUUUUAUCUGUAGAACACUUCAGCCAUUGUUUCAGUAUUCUUAUUUUUCUUGUUUUUUUUCUCCUCCCAAAUAUAUACAUGUGCCUAUGCACACACACAUAUACACUCACGUUCAAAACCACUGUACAUAGAACAUUUUAUUGAAUACAUAAUAAAACAAUCAAAUAAUUUCAAGGGAAAUGGUAAGAACUACUUUCAAAUAUUUUAUUUAAAAGAGAACUUGUGGCUGUUACAUAACUUAAUGAUAUUUAAACAAUUCUGAGAAUUUUGAAAGGUGAAAAUGAUUGCACUCUCGUAACAUGCUACAAAUCAGAGUAGUAUUCUCCAAUGAAAUAGAGAUGCUUCUAAUGCCAUGUUACCAGUGGGUUUCCUCUCUUUUUACUCUUUCUUGAAGAACUCAAGCCACACUGAUAUUUCUACAAUCAGAAAGCUCUUGAAAUGCACAUGUUAGAUGGUUGGCUAUUGGGUGAAUCAAGGACAUCUACACACUUACUUAUUCUCCACCCCACCAAACAUAGGACAAACCUGUUAAGUAAAAUAUGAAGCCAAAAUUAGCAUCCCCUGGCCAGGCGUGGUGGCUCACGCCUGUACUUCCAGCACUUUGGGAGGCCGAGGAAGGUGGAUCACUUGAGGUUAGGAGUUCAAGAUCAAGAUUAGCCUGGCCAACAUGGUGAAACCCUAUCUCUACUAAAAAAUACAACAAUUAGCCAGCUGCAGUGGCACACACCUGUAGUCCCAGCUAGUCGGGAGGCUGAGGCAGGGGAAUCACUUUAACUCAGGAGGCAGAGGUUGCAGUGAGCCAAGAUUGCACCAGUGCACUCCAGCCUGGGCAACAGGGCAAGACUCUGUCUCAAAAAAAAUAAAAAAUAGCAUCCCUAGAGUUUUUAUAUCAAAAUGAUUUAGAAUAGUUUAGAUAGUUUCAUAUUAAUUGAUUUAGAACUUUUCAUGCUCUCUCAAGAUUGUAUUUUAGAAGGUAAACCAAUGUUGUUAUGAAACAUGCAAUGCAUAAAAAGUCUAAACAAGUGUGUGCAUGAAUUUAUAUAUAUUCAGCUGUAGCUUAUGAUGUUAAUAUAAUAAACACCUGAGCUAUCAAAACACAAGUUAAAAUACAGAACUUUAUAGUUCCUCAGAAGCUGUCUGCAUUUAUGCCAUUGUUCUCCUCCUGAAGACAUAACCAUGAUCCAAUAUUUUGUAUUAAACAUACCUUUGCUGGAACUUAUAAUUAUACAACUUAAUUAUGCAUCUCGUAAAAAGAUAUUGCUUGUGACAGUGGCUUUUAAAAUUUGCAUAAGUAGACUCAUACUGUAAUGAAUUCAUGCUGUAUUAUCCUGUGACUUACUUUUGAAAAAACUGAAAGAUAUAAUAAAUCUGAUAAAGAGAUUUAUUCAUAUAGCUGAAUAUCGUUCUAAUACAGUCUUCACUGCUGUAUUGUACUUCCUUAUAUAAAUAUACUGCAAUAACCUAAUUUUCUAUUGAUACAUAUUAGAGGCAUUUCAGUUUUGACCUUUAUGAAAUUACUUCCAAGCACAGAAUUACUGGGUCACAGAGUGUGUGCACUUUCAGUUUUAUAAGGAACGUGGAUUGUGUAGAUUGCAGCUUUGUAUCAUAUCCUUGAAACCUUGUAUAUUCAUUUCAGUUCAAGUUACCUGAGGUCUGACUGAAGCCCUUAGGCUAGAAAAAGACUUUGACACUUGCUAACUCUGUGCUUACCUGUUUCAUUUUAUUUGAGCCUAUUGAAUUCCUUUUAUUUGGGCCAUGUACUUCUUAAAGUAUGUUUGAUUGUCUAGGAUGUUAUAUGUGUCACUUUGAAUUUUGGUUUUAUUUACUUUUUUGCUUAAUUUUUCCUAAUAACUAUGUUGAAAAUAAAUAUGCAGUUAUAUUCUAGUCAUCUUCCCUUGAUGUACUUUGAUCUUCUAUAUUUAUUUUUCUCUUACAAAUUAUUUUGCUUUUUUCUACUCUUAGUUUUAUUAUUUACAAAAUUAGCCCUUUUUUUAAAAAAUUCCAUCUCUAUCUCUCACUUUCUUUGUGAUUAUUUUAAGUGGCUUACGUUAACGUGCUUUAGGAAAGUUGUAGAUUUGCUAUAAAUCUGUCUUCAUAGCAAGGAACAACGGUCAUAGAUUAUGUCAUAAUAAUUGGUGGUGGCAGGAAAACAGUCAUUAAAAUCAAUACAGUGUGUAUCAGUCAGGGCUGGGCACCAAGGCUCAUGCUGUAAUCCCAGCACUUUGAGAGGCUGAGGUGGGAAGAUCACUUAAGGC